GCUUUACUGUAGCCUGAUAUUGAAUGUCUGUGCAGCUUGUACAGGAUAGGUGGGAGCCUUGGAAACCGGAGCGCUAGCUUCGGUGGAGGCAUCCGUGGGAUACCACCCUGGCUGUAUGGACAUUCUAACCCAGGACCGUGAUCCGGUUCGGAGACAGUGUCAGGCGGGCAGUUUGACUGGGGCGGUCGCCUCCCAAAAGGUAACGGAGGCGCCCAAAGGUUCCCUCAGAAUGGUUGGAAAUCAUUCGUAGAGUGUAAAGGCACAAGGGAGCUUGACUGCGAGACCUACAAGUCGAGCAGGGACGAAAGUCGGGCUUAGUGAUCCGGUGGUUCCGCAUGGAAGGGCCAUCGCUCAACGGAUAAAAGCUACCCCGGGGAUAACAGGCUUAUCUCCCCCAAGAGUUCACAUCGACGGGGAGGUUUGGCACCUCGAUGUCGGCUCAUCGCAUCCUGGGGCUGUAGUCGGUCCCAAGGGUUGGGCUGUUCGCCCAUUAAAGCGGUACGCGAGCUGGGUUCAGAACGUCGUGAGACAGUUCGGUCCCUAUCCGUCGUGGGCGUUGGAAGUUUGAGAGGAGCUGUCCUUAGUACGAGAGGACCGGGAUGGACACACCGCUGGUGUACCAGUUGUUCCGCCAGGAGCAUCGCUGGGUAGCUACGUGUGGAAAGGAUAAGUGCUGAAAGCAUCUAAGCAUGAAGCCCCCCUCAAGAUGAGACUUCCCAUCACUUCGAGUGAGUAAGAUCCCUCAGAGACGAUGAGGUUGAUAGGUUCGGUGUGGAAGCGUGGUGACACGUGGAGCUUACGGAUACUAAUCGAUCGAGGACUUAACUAA
rnacentral:rRNA from 1 species